GGGCCUGUGGCUCAAUGGUAGAGUCUUAAACUCAAUGACAAAAGGUCGCGGGUUCGAAUCUCGCCAGAUCUG
rfam:Schistocephalus solidus strain NST_G2 genome assembly, scaffold: SSLN_scaffold0004323